GACGUCGAUAUUCGACGUCAUAAACAUGAUCAAAUUUGGUGUUUAUGACGUCGAUAUUCGACGUCAUAAACACCAUCAAGUUUGGUGUUUAUGACGUCGUUAUUCGACGUCAUAAACAUGAUCAAAUAUCGUGUUUAUGACGUCGAUAUUCGACGUCAUAAACACGAUCAAUUUGGUGUUUAUGACGUAGAUAUUCGACGUCAUAAACACGAUCAACUUUGGUGUUUAUGACGUCGAUAUUCGACGUC